rnacentral:tRNA from 2 species
GCCCGGAUAGCUCAGUCGGUAGAGCAGGGGAUUGAAAAUCCCCGUGUCCUUGGUGCGAUUCCGAGUCCGGGCACCA